rnacentral:rRNA from 1 species
GUGGGGAAUUUUGGACAAUGGGCGCAAGCCUGAUCCAGCAAUGCCGCGUGCAGGAAGAAGGCCUUCGGGUUGUAAAGCACUUUUGGCAGGGAAGAAACAGUGCGUGCUAAUACCAUGCGCGAAUGACGGUACCUGCAGAAUAAGCACCGGCUAACUACGUGCCAGCAGCCGCGGUAAUACGUAGGGUGCAAGCGUUAAUCGGAAUUACUGGGCGUAAAGCGUGCGCAGGCGGCUUUGUAAGACGGAUGUGAAAGCCCCGGGCUCAACCUGGGAAGUGCAUUCGUGACUGCAAGGCUAGAGUGUGUCAGAGGGAGGUGGAAUUCCGCGUGUAGCAGUGAAAUGCGUAGAGAUGCGGAGGAACACCGAUGGCGAAGGCAGCCUCCUGGGAUAACACUGACGCUCAGGCACGAAAGCGUGGGGAGCAAACAGGAUUAGAAACCCGUGUAGUCC